rnacentral:rRNA from 1 species
AUGAUGACAAUUACAUUGGAGAAUUUGCCUUCUAUGCCUGCUGUUGUCAGAACAACUAUUGGAAGUUUGCUUAUACUUUGCCACAUAAUCUCUUUAGCAUCAGUAUCUACAGACGUUCCUAUGGUGUUUCCAGAAGCACUCCUCCAGCAGAUACUGAUAUCCAUGGUACAUCCAGACGCAGACACUCGUGCGGGGGCGCACCACAUAUUUUCUGCUGUAAUUGUCCAGGGCCCAAGCCAUCAGAGGGAAGAGCAAAGGCACAGCGCCUUAGCCUACCAUAUCUGCCACUCAUUCUACAUCCGACGCACAGGAUUGACUGAGUGCAAAACACACCCAGACUUGUGUGUUUCAUCAGGAAAGUCUUGGAUUUGUUGA